CGCCUCGAGCAAAACAAGUAUUCGAGGUCCUGCCUGCCCAGUGAACAUUUUCAACGGCCGCGGUACCCUGACCGUGCAAAGGUAGCGCAAUCACUUGUCCCCCAAAUAGGGACCUGUAUGAACGGUUAUAUGAGGACCCACCUGUCUCCCGAGGCCAAUCAAUGAACCUGAUCUCCCAGUCCAAAAGCUGGAAUAUACAAGCAAGACGAGAAGACCCUGUGGAGCUUUAAACCCAGAUAUUACACCUACUUUUCUAAUACCUGGUUUUUAGUUGGGGUGACUACGGAACAAAACCUAACUUCCGCUAUUCAGGCUAACCCCCUACCAAGGCCUACACGCCACCGUAACACAAAAUAUUUUGACCCGGCACUAUUUCGCUGAUCAAAGAACCAAGUUACCCCAGGGAUAACAGCGCCAUCCCCCUCAAGAGCCCAUAUCGCCAGGGGGGUUUACGACCUCGAUGUUGGAUCAGGACACCCCGGUGGUGCAGCCGCUACCAAAGGUUCGUUUGUUCAACGAUUAACCAGUCCU
rnacentral:rRNA from 1 species